GGCGACUGGCUCGCGGACAUCCCUUUCAAAUCCGGUCCGGACCCGGGGGAAGGGGCCCGACUAGCCGUGACCGCUCGAUCCUCUGCCGCGACUAUUUAACUCCCAUGAUUUCGACGUUCAAUCCCGAACUCGUCUUAACGCUGAGCCAAGAAGCAAGAGAUUAAAUUUACGUAAUUUAAAAUUAGAGAAUACAGGAAGAAAAGAAUUUGAGCUAACUUUUUGCGUGGCUGAGAAUUACCGCCCAGAAUCUUCCUGGCAAGGACUAGAUCUGAAGUCUCACCAUCCAAUUAGGCACCCGUCGUCCUGACCAGGGGUCAGAGGAGGCGGAGGAAAGAAGGGGCUUGCAUUGUGUCAGUGCUGGGAGCUAACCCAUCAUAACUCCUCUUCGGUGCUGAGAAGACCACGCCUGCUUUCCCCCACAUCACCUGGAAAAAGUAUGAUGGAGGAAGAGGAAAUGAAAAGGUGGAUUCUUUACCAGCUGAACUACCGGGGAAGCCCAAAAGACCCAACUAACACACGCCUGGACUUCUGACCCCUGGGCUUUGAGAGAGAAUACAUUUGUGUUGUUUUAAGUCAAUAAGUUUGUGAUGACUCAUUACACUGUAAUAGAAAACUCAACAUCAGUGUCAACAACUGGCACAAAAAUCUACAGAGUAAAAUCAGGAAAAAGUGGGGGAUGAGCAAGUGUAUUCAAAGGAAGGAAAAAGGUUCCUCAACUGGAAAUCAGGAUUGCAGUUAGCUUUGUGGAGAGUGCCUGGGAGGAGGGGAGAACCUUCAGGAGUGCUGGCAGUGGUCUACACCUUGCUGUGGGAACUCGAUCUGGAAACUGGUG